rnacentral:rRNA from 1 species
UGGGGAAUAUUGCACAAUGGGCGCAAGCCUGAUGCAGCAACGCCGCGUGAGGGACGACGGCCUUCGGGUUGUAAACCUCUUUUGGCAGGGAAGAAGGGAGCUUGCUCUUGACGGUACCUGCAGAAAAAGCACCGGCUAACUACGUGCCAGCAGCCGCGGUAAUACGUAGGGUGCAAGCGUUGUCCGGAAUUAUUGGGCGUAAAGAGCUCGUAGGCGGUUUGUCGCGUCUGCUGUGAAAACGCGAGGCUCAACCUCGCGCCUGCAGUGGGUACGGGCAGACUAGAGUGCGGUAGGGGAGAUUGGAAUUCCUGGUGUAGCGGUGGAAUGCGCAGAUAUCAGGAGGAACACCGAUGGCGAAGGCAGAUCUCUGGGCCGUAACUGACGCUGAGGAGCGAAAGCGUGGGGAGCGAACAG